rnacentral:rRNA from 1 species
UACGUAGGUGGCAAGCGUUGUCCGGAUUUACUGGGCGUAAAGGGCGCGUAGGCGGCGUGACUAGUCACUUGUGAAAUCUCCGGGCUUAACUCGGAACGGUCAAGUGAUACUGUCGUGCUAGAGUACAGAAGGGGCAACUGGAAUUCUCGGUGUAGCGGUGAAAUGCGUAGAUAUCGAGAGGAACACCUGCGGCGAAGGCGGGUUGCUGGGCUGAUACUGACGCUGAUGCGCGAAAGCCAGGGGAGCGAACGGG